GCAUAUCAAUAGCGGAGGAAAAGAAACCCAACAGGGAUUGCCCUAGUAACGGCGAGUGAAGCGGCAACAGCUCAAAUUUGAAAUCUGGCUUCGGCCCGAGUUGUAAUUUGCAGAGGAUGCUUCUGGCGCGGUGCCUUCCGAGUUCCCUGGAACGGGACGCCACAGAGGGUGAGAGCCCCGUAUGGUUGGACACCAAGCCUGUGUGAAGCUCCUUCGACGAGUCGAGUAGUUUGGGAAUGCUGCUCAAAAUGGGAGGUAAAUCUCUUCUAAAGCUAAAUACCGGCCAGAGACCGAUAGCGCACAAGUAGAGUGAUCGAAAGAUGAAAAGCACCUUGAAAAGGGGGUUAAACAGUACGUGAAAUUGUUGAAAGGGAAGCGCUCAUGACCAGACUUGUGCCGGGCGGCUCAUCAGGGGUUCUCCCCUGUGUAUUCCGCCCGGCUCAGGCCAGCAUCGGUUGUUGUUGGGGGAUAAGAACGGCGGGAACGUGGCUCCCCUCGGGGAGUGUUAUAGCCUACCGUACGAUACCCUGACGGCGACCGAGGUUCGCGCUCCGCAAGGAUGCUGGCGUAAUGGUCAUCAGCGACCCGUCUUGAAACACGGACCAAGGAGUCGUCCAUUAGAGCGAGCGUUUGGGUGUAAAACCCGCACGCGUAAUGAAAGUGAAAUUAGGUGAGAGCUUCGGCGCAUCAUCGACCGAUCCUGAUGUUCUCGGAUGGAUUUGAGUAAGAGUUUUAACGGACGGACCCGAAAGACAGUGAACUAUGCUUGUAUAGGGUGAAGCCAGAGGAAACUCUGGUGGAGGCUCGCAGCGGUUCUGACGUGCAAAUCGAUCGUCAAAUAUGAGCAUGGGGGCGAAAGACUAAUCGAACUGUCUAGUAGCUGGUUACCGCCGAAGUU
rnacentral:rRNA from 1 species